UACGGAGGGUGCAAGCGUUAUCCGGAAUCACUGGGUUUAAAGGGUACGUAGGCUGAGAGAUAAGUCAGUCGUGAAAUCGGGUAGCUUAACUAUUCAAUUGCGAUUGAUACUGUUUUUCUAGAAUAGAGUCGAGGUUGGCGGAAUGAGUAGUGUAGCGGUGAAAUGCAUAGAUAUUACUCAGAACACCGAUUGCGAAGGCAGCUGACAAGGCUUUUAUUGACGCUGAGGUACGAAAGUGUGGGUAGCGAACAGG
rnacentral:rRNA from 1 species